rnacentral:rRNA from 1 species
CGUACACUCCUACGGGAGGCAGCAGUAGGGAAUCUUCGGCAAUGGGGGCAACCCUGACCGAGCAACGCCGCGUGAGUGAAGAAGGUUUUCGGAUCGUAAAGCUCUGUUGUAAGUCAAGAACGAGUGUGAGAGUGGAAAGUUCACACUGUGACGGUAGCUUACCAGAAAGGGACGGCUAACUACGUGCCAGCAGCCGCGGUAAUACGUAGGUCCCGAGCGUUGUCCGGAUUUAUUGGGCGUAAAGCGAGCGCAGGCGGUUUGAUAAGUCUGAAGUUAAAGGCUGUGGCUCAACCAUAGUUCGCUUUGGAAACUGUCAAACUUGAGUGCAGAAGGGGAGAGUGGAAUUCCAUGUGUAGCGGUGAAAUGCGUAGAUAUAUGGAGGAACACCGGUGGCGAAAGCGGCUCUCUGGUCUGUAACUGACGCUGAGGCUCGAAAGCGUGGGGAGCGAACAGGAUUAGAUACCCUGGUAGUCCCAUG